CAUGUACUUCCUCCAUUUCAAAUUACUUGUCGCAGGUAUAAAUGUAUCUAAAUGUAUUUUAAUUCUAGAUACAUCCAUUUUCGUGACGAGUAAUUUGAAACGUAGGGAGUACUUG
rfam:Triticum urartu cultivar G1812 contig227234, whole genome shotgun sequence.